GACGGAGGAUGCAAGCGUUAUCCGGAAUGAUUGGGCGUAAAGCGUCUGCAGGUGGCAGUUCAAGUCUGCUGUCAAAGACCGGGGCUUAACUUCGGAAAGGCAGUGGAAACUGAACAGCUAGAGUAUGGUAGGGGCAGAGGGAAUUCCUGGUGUAGCGGUGAAAUGCGUAGAGAUCAGGAAGAACAUCGGUGGCGAAGGCGCUCUGCUGGACCAUAACUGACACUCAGGGACGAAAGCUAGGGGAGCAAAAGGG
rnacentral:rRNA from 1 species